rnacentral:rRNA from 1 species
AUUGAACGCUGGCGGCAGGCCUAACACAUGCAAGUCGAACGAGUGGCGGACGGGUGAGUAAUGUAUGGGAAACUGCCCGAUGGAGGGGGAUAACUACUGGAAACGGUAGCUACUACCGCAUACCAUCGGAUGUGCCCAGGUGGGAUUAGCUAGUAGGUGGGGUAACGGCUCACCUAGGCGACGAUCCCUAGCUGGUCUGAGAGGAUGACCAGCCAAACUGGAACGGAGACACGGCCCAGACUCCUACGGGAGGCAGCAGUGGGGAAUAUUGGACAAUGGGCGAAAGCCUGAUGCAGCCAUGCCGCGUGUAUGAAGAAGGCCUUCGGGUUGUAAAGUACUUUCGGUGGGGAGGCGUUACUCGAAGAAGAAGCACCGGCUAACUCCGUGCCAGCAGCCGCGGUAAUUC